rnacentral:lncRNA from 1 species
UCCCUUGAAAGGCACCUGGCUGGGCCCAGGGAGGACUGAGCUGGGGCAACUCUCCUCUUCAGGCCUGUCGAAGCACUUUCCUGCUCUGCACUCCAUUGCUGGGCCUGCGGAAGCUCCAGGCACACGUUGCUCUGAACACGGAGAAGAGCGCCGAAGAGCUUCAGGAAACUGUCUGCAGUCACCURGUGAGUAAGCUGCRGCCCAGCCUAAGACUGACUGGUGGCAGCGACUUUCCCUGGCCCAGAGACCUGGAGCGUGGAGUGCCCUUCAGAGAGGUGGUAGGGYRUGAUCUGGCAUGGCAGUGAGGGGAACUGUUUGUGCCUUGCAGCCACCUGCUCUUUUCUUGAUCUCCUGGGUCGUCCACUCUCCUUGCCGAGGGUCAACGGAAGGGCCUUUUCAGCCAAAGAGCUCCUGUUUCUCUGUUUCCCUCCAGGCCAGAAACAGCUCAGAACUUCUCGAUAGCCUCUACGACGCCCUYCUGACCMACUUCUGGAGCUUGYGCUGGGGCACGCGGACUGCGGCCGUCAAAGUAACUGGUGUCAUCCUGGAGAAUGCAGAUGCCCRGUGGCUGAGAAAGCACAAUAUGAGUCUUCUGAGUGCRAGUAAGUUAAAAUUGCCCCUCCUGCUCUACACUCUCUCCUUGUCUGAGGAAAGAUGUCACCACCUUCUGCUGCCCUACGCUGCCCCUUCUCUCUCGUGUCCUGCCCCAAACCUCGGCCUGGCUAUGACUUUAUCCCACKUGAAUAUGGACUGGCUCAAGAGCUCCUGCAUCCCCAGACAGCCAAGCUCCUGCUAAACCAAGAAGGUCUUUUGGAUAAAAGCAAACUUGGGGAAAGCUGUCAAGCUCUUGCCAAACUAGACCUUUGCACGCGUUUAGCAAAAUGGUGGAGGCAGAAGAAGCCUCCUUCCUGCAUCUGGGGGCAUGGAAGACUCGAAAUGGAGGGGCCGUUGGUGCCGGGAGAGAGUUUCUCUCGCUGAACACACGCAGAAGGCUGCGGGUUUGCAGUGACCGUGUGCAAAGCCAGCCUUCAUAUCCCACCCUUGCCAYGGGCUCCCAGGACUGAGGCCAGGGAAGGCUUGGCAGCUUUCUCAAGUGAUGCUCUGCUCAGAGAGCCUGGGAAGGCAUGACCAGUCUGUCCUGGCCUUUGACAGUCACUGAUGCAUCUGCCUGUGUUGUUUCAGUUCUCCAGUUGAUGCAGGAAGACCAGCAUCCCAGCGUGCAGCAGGCAGCAGCUCAGG